CUCUUUUUAAUGAUCAGCGUUGAGGGCGACUGCAAUCUCGUGUCGCGUGAAUUUUGGAACAUUAUUUAGUAAUUUUAUCGAUCCUAUGGUUGUUAGAUUACCGUAGCAGUGACCUUCCUUUUCUCUUUGAGUGGCGGGUGGACGUGGGCACCAGACUUACCUUCUCUCUUAUGGUUACGAGAACUUCCAAUGAGACACCUUGAAUUUCCAAUGCACUGGAGGAAGUGAAGAGCCCAAGCUUUAUACGAGUGAAAACAGAUACUUCAU
rnacentral:lncRNA from 1 species